UGCCGGAUCGUCUAAUGGUAGGACAGCGGCCUUUGGAGCCGUCAGUCAUGGUUCGAAUCCAUGUCCGGCAG
rnacentral:tRNA from 1 species